UUGACCUCAAAUCAGGUAGGACUACCCGCUGAACUUAAGCAUAUCAAUAAGCGGAGGAAAAGAAACUAACAAGGAUUCCCCUAGUAACUGCGAGUGAAGCGGGAAAAGCUCAAAUUUAAAAUCUGGCAGAUUUUGUCUGUCCGA
rnacentral:rRNA from 1 species